UGUAUGUGUGUGGUAACGAGAGGUACACCGACACUGUCUGUGGACAAAGCUGUGCAAGCCUUCGAGGAGCUUUGUCAGACCUCGACUGAAAAUCCGGCACUGCCAACAUCUUCCGGCAUGGUUGGCCAAAGCCCUUUGGGGAGCGAGCCAGCUGUUCCCGGAAGUCCCCAACAAGCCCAAGAGAAUUCUGCAGACGUUGAGCAAGAAUUGCGCCAGUGGUGCUCUACGCCUACAGAGGACAAGACGCCAAGCCCCUUGUCGUUGGAGCG